rnacentral:rRNA from 1 species
UCCCAGUAGCAUAUGCUUGUCUCAAAGAUUAAGCCAUGCAGGUCUAAGUACAGGCCCUAUACGGCGAAACUGCGAAUGGCUCAUUAAAUCAGUUAUGGUUCCUUAGAUACAGCCCAUCCACUUGGACAACUGUGGAAAAUCUAGAGCUAAUACAUGCGACCAAGCUCCGACCUUCGGGGAAGAGCGCAUUUGUUAGUACAAAACCAACCCGGGUUCGCGCCCGGCCAUCUUGGUGACUCUGAACAACCUCGAGCCGAUCGCACGGCCUCGCGCCGGCGACGCAUCUUUCAAAUGUCUGCCCUAUCAACUGUCGAUGGUACGUGCUAUGCGUACCAUGGUUCUCACGGGUGACGGGGAAUCAGGGUUCGAUUCCGGAGAGGGAGCCUGAGAAACGGCUACCACAUCCAAGGAAGGCAGCAGGCACGCAAAUUACCCAAUGCCGACACGGCGAGGUAGUGACGAAAAAUAACAAUACGGGUCUCUAUCGAGGCCCCGUAAUUGGAAUGAGUACACUCUAAAUCCUUUAACGAGGAUCCAUUGGAGGCAAGU